rnacentral:rRNA from 1 species
GUAACGGCGAGUGAAGAGGGAAGAGCUCAAAUUUUGAAUCUGGCACCUUUGGUGUCCGAAUUGUAAUCUAGAGAAGUGUUUUCCGUGACGGACCGUGCACAAGUCUCCUGGAAUGGAGUGUCAUAGAGGGUGAGAAUCCCGUAUAUGGCACGGACUCCCGUUGCUCUGUGAUACACUCUCGACGAGUCGAGUUGUUUGGGAAUGCAGCUCUAAAUGGGUGGUAAAUGCCAUCUAAAGCUAAAUAUUGGCGAGAGACCGAUAGCGAACAAGUACCGUGAGGGAAAGAUGAAAAGCACUUUGGAAAGAGAGUGAAACAGUACGUGAAAUUGUUGAAAGGGAAACGCUUGAAGUCAGUCGCGCCGUUCGGGAUUCAGCCUUGCUUCUGCUCGGUUUACUUCCCGUUGGGUGGGUCAACAUCAGUUUCGGUCGGAGGAGAAAGGCUCGGGGAAGGUGGCAGCAUUCGUGCUGUGUUAUAGCCCCUUGUUGUAUACUUCGACUGGGACUGAGGACCGCAGCACGCCUUUGGCCGGGGUUCGCCCACGUACGUGCUUAGGAUGUUGGCAUAAUGGCUUUAAGCGACCCGUCUUGAAACACGGACCAAGGAGUCUAACAUGUGCGCGAGUGUUUGGGUGUUAAACUCGGACGCGAAAUGAAAGUGAAAAGUUGGGAACACGUCUGUGUGCACCGACGCCCGGAGCUGACCUUCUGUGACGCAUCUGCGGUAGAGCGUAUAUGUUGGGACCCGAAAGAUGGUGAACUAUGCCUGAAUAGGGUGAAGCCAGAGGAAACUCUGGUGGAGGCUCGUAGCGAUUCUGACGUGCAAAUCGAUCGUCAA